rnacentral:misc_RNA from 1 species
UUUCCGUAGGUGAACCUGCGGAAGGAUCAUUAUUGUAUAACCGAUGUGCGAGGGCUGUCGCUGACCCGAAAGGUCGUGCACGCCUGAGUGCCCUCACACAUCCAUCGCACCCCAAUGUGCACCACCGCGUGGGUUCCCCUUUGGCUUGUUCGGAGGGGGGCUUACGUUUUCACACAAACUUUGUAUGCAGUGUAGAAUGUAUUUUUUGUUUUUGCGAUCACGCAAUCAAUACAACUUUCAACAACGGAUCUCUUGGCUCUC